UAUUCAAUUCAUGAGCUAUUAUUCAAACGCACAACUCAACUAAGCUCCAACAAGUAUUGCGGCUUAAAUAAUACAACUAAAUAGCAACCUCAGAAAUAUAUUAUUACUAAACAACAAUGGAAUUCAAAAUGGUUUCAAUUUUCCUCGUCGUCUUGGCCUUUGGCCUAGCCACCUGCUCAGCUUCGGAUUUUGCUCCCGCCCAACCAGACGAAAAUUCCAAAGUAGAUGGACAAGAACGAGCUGUUGCCACUGACGAUGGGACCAUAAUUUCCCUCCAGGAAAACCCAAUCGCUCCGAAGUGCACGUACUGUGGGGGUUUUAGCCACGUCGGAUGCAGCAAUCACUGCUACUGGUCCGGAUACGGAUGUUACAGCUGCAUUGCGCAUCCGUGUUAUUGCGUCUGCUCAAAUUCUGGGUGCUAGAUUACUACUGGAAUAUACGUCUUGAUAAACAAGUAUAAUUUAUUACGGGUUAUUAAUUUAAAUCACAUAUUGAUAUAACUAAUGUAAUGUAGGUUUCCCACCUUUUACUAUUUAAUCAUUUACAAGUUCAUAUAGCAUAUUUAAUAAAUCUCUAAAUAAAUCUCUAAAUAAAUUUCUUUUUGACACAA